rnacentral:rRNA from 1 species
CCUACGGGAGGCAGCAGUGAGGAAUAUUGGUCAAUGGACGAGAGUCUGAACCAGCCAAGUAGCGUGAAGGAUGACUGCCCUAUGGGUUGUAAACUUCUUUUAUAUGGGAAUAAAAUGUUCCACGUGUGGGAUUUUGUAUGUACCAAAUGAAUAAGGAUCGGCUAACUCCGUGCCAGCAGCCGCGGUAAUACGGAGGAUCCGAGCGUUAUCCGGAUUUAUUGGGUUUAAAGGGAGCGUAGGUGGAUUGUUAAGUCAGUUGUGAAAGUUUGCGGCUCAACCGUAAAAUUGCAGUUGAAACUGGCAGUCUUGAGUACAGUAGAGGUGGGCGGAAUUCGUGGUGUAGCGGUGAAAUGCUUAGAUAUCACGAAGAACUCCGAUUGCGAAGGCAGUUCACUGGACUGCAACUGACACUGAGGCUCGAAAGUGUGGGUAUCAAACAGGAUUAGAUACCCCUGUAGUC